GACGAACGCUGGCGGCGUGCUUAACACAUGCAAGUCGAACGGAAAGGCCCUGCUUUUUUGGUGUGCUCGAGUGGCGAACGGGUGAGUAACACGUGAGUAACCUGCCCUUGACUUUGGGAUAACUUCAGGAAACUGGGGCUAAUACCGGAUAGGAGCUCCUGCUGCAUGGUGGGGGUUGGAAAGUUUCGGCGGUUGGGGAUGGACUCGCGGCUUAUCAGCUUGUUGGUGGGGUAGUGGCUUACCAAGGCUUUGACGGGUAGCCGGCCUGAGAGGGUGACCGGCCACAUUGGGACUGAGAUACGGCCCAGACUCCUACGGGAGGCAGCAGUGGGGAAUAUUGCACAAUGGGCGGAAGCCUGAUGCAGCAACGCCGCGUGCGGGAUGACGGCCUUCGGGUUGUAAACCGCUUUCGCCUGUGACGAAGCGUGAGUGACGGUAAUGGGUAAAGAAGCACCGGCUAACUACGUG
rnacentral:rRNA from 1 species